UUGGUUCACCACUAUUCCCAAACUGGUUUAAUCACUAUUCACAAAAUAUCUUCUCUGACUCCGCUAUAUUGCUUUGAUUUCUUGCAACUGUAGCCUCUGUUUCUCUUUCUUCUCCAAUACAAACGAAAGCUAAGAAAACCCUUGGUCGUUCAGUCUGCCUCACCAUCAUUUAUCAUCCCUCACGAUAGUGAUAAUCUCUAUAGAGAUUCAAAGCUAGCAGCAAGAAAUUCCAGAUAAUCUAACUUCUCAAAUAAUCCGACUCCCACAAUCAGUUCCUAAUUUGUGUUGAAGGAGAGGCCGAUUCAGGAUUCUGAAUUCCCAGUCUUUUGGUUUCCACUUCCUCUGAUUGCAGGUGAUGGGGAGAACUCUGUCGACAAAAAUGGAUGAGCACACCAAGCAGAGACGGAGGGAGAGGGGGGCUGGGGGCAGCCCAAUAGCAAAUUGACUUGUAAAAAAUGGAAAAUUCAGUCCAAAUUAUUGGUGAAAUAAAGAAGAAUAAAAAUUUAGCCCAGUCUAUAAAUUAAUUUUUAGUACAAUUAACUUUAUUCCCAAUCCAAAUUCAAUGUUCAAUUAUUUAAGGGGGUGUUUGAGUCACAUUAUUUUGGUAAUAAUGCAUUCUUGAAUAGUGUAUU